rnacentral:rRNA from 1 species
AGUGAACGCUGGCGGUAGGCCUAACACAUGCAAGUCGAACGGCAGCACAGUAAGAGCUUGCUCUUACGGGUGGCGAGUGGCGGACGGGUGAGGAAUACAUCGGAAUCUACUUUUUCGGGGGGGAUAACGUAGGGAAACUUACGCUAAUACCGCAUACCACCUACGGUUGAAAGCAGGGGAUCUUCGGACCUUGCGCGAUUGAAUGAGCCGAUGUCGGAUUAGCUAGUUGGCGGGGUAAAGGCCCACCAAGGCGACGAUCCGUAGCUGGUCUGAGAGGAUGAUCAGCCACACUGGAACUGAGACACGGUCCAGACUCCUACGGGAGGCAGCAGUGGGGAAUAUUGGACAAUGGGCGCGAGCAUGGUACAGCCAUAGCGAGUGGGUGAAGAAGGCCUUCGGGUUGUAAAGCCCUUUUGUUGGGAAAGAAAAGCAGCAGGUUAAUACCCCGCUGUUCUGACGGUACCCAAAGAAUAAGCACCGGCUAACUUCGUG